rnacentral:tRNA from 1 species
UUGGUUGUAGCUCAGUGGUAGAGCGCUUGCUUAGCAUGUGUGAGGCACUGGGUUUGAUCCUCAGCACCAACUAAA